rnacentral:rRNA from 1 species
CCUACGGGAGGCAGCAGUGAGGAAUAUUGGUCAAUGGACGAGAGUCUGAACCAGCCAAGUAGCGUGAAGGAUGACUGCCCUAUGGGUUGUAAACUUCUUUUAUAUGGGAAUAAAACGCUCCACGUGUGGGGUUUUGUAUGUACCUUAUGAAUAAGGAUCGGCUAACUCCGUGCCAGCAGCCGCGGUAAUACGGAGGAUGCGAGCGUUAUCCGGAUUUAUUGGGUUUAAAGGGUGCGUAGGCGGAAGGUUAAGUCAGCGGUCAAAUGUUGGUGCUCAACACCGGCCUGCCGUUGAAACUGGUAUGCUUGAGUGAGCGAGAGGUAUGCGGAAUGCGUGGUGUAGCGGUGAAAUGCAUAGAUAUCACGCAGAACUCCGAUUGCGAAGGCAGCAUGCCGGCGCUCAACUGACGCUGAGGCACGAAAGCGUGGGGAUCGAACAGGAUUAGAUACCCCUGUAGUC